rnacentral:lncRNA from 1 species
CACGGCUCUGCUGCAAGAGCCAAGUCUCCUUGUGGCUUAACGGUUAUACUGCCAAUUGCUCCAGAGAAAGUGUCAAAAGAUGAUAUAAAUAACAAACAGAGACAUGUUAUGAAUGUUUCACAAUCUUACAAAAUUCUUACUUCGAAAAUCUACUCUUCUGGAGAAGGUUUCCCAUUCUGAGGUUGUUGGACCAGGACCAUGGAUAUAUUCUUGUAAAUUUUCAUUACCAAAACUUCCUGCUGCACUGGCUCUGCAGUGCAGAUGGAGGGAGGCUUUGGCUUCCUCAUCCUCAUCAUGAUGCCCUUCUGGAUUCUGCCAGACACUGCAGCCCAGGUAACGACACUGAGGCCCAGAGAAGACCAAGUCACUGGUCAGUGUCAGAGGUGGGACAAGAGCCAGGGUGACCUGGUUCCCAGGCCAUCAUGCUCUCUUUGCCGGGGUAGAGUCCACACCAGCAGUCUCUGUGCCUGGGUCUUGCACACCUAGGUUUCCUCUCACCAAGGCUGACUCUUUGACCUUUAACAUCCUCUCCCCUAGCCCUGAGAAGACCCACUCUGAAUGUUCCCAGGUCCCCAGCACACAGAUGGCAACUUUAAGGGGACAAUGGAUGUUAAGAAGGGUGAGGAGAGAUGGCAAGAAUGUCACCAGAGUACCUGGUCUGGCCACACAGGGUCUCAGUAAAAUAUUAUCUCGGAUUAAAAAUAAAUACACUAUAUGCUAACUAAAUUGAAUUUAA